rnacentral:rRNA from 1 species
CGUGUAGGCGGCCUUGCAAGUCGGAUGUGAAAGCCCUGGGCUCAACCCCAGGAAGUGCACUCGAAACUGCAAGGCUUGAGUUCCGGAGAGGAAAGCGGAAUUCUCGGUGUAGAGGUGAAAUUCGUAGAUAUCGAGAGGAACACCGGUGGCGAAGGCGGCUUUCUGGACGGCGACUGACGCUGAGACGCGAAAGCGUGGGGAGCAAACAGG